rnacentral:rRNA from 1 species
UUUCAGAGGGGGAUAACAUUUGGAAACAGAUGCUAAUACCGCAUAAGAUUACAGUACCGCAUGAUACAGUGAUCAAAGGAGCAAUCCGCUGAAAGAUGGGCUCGCGUCCGAUUAGAUAGUUGGUGAGGUAACGGCUCACCAAGUCGACGAUCGGUAGCCGGACUGAGAGGUUGAACGGCCACAUUGGGACUGAGACACGGCCCAGACUCCUACGGGAGGCAGCAGUGGGGAAUAUUGCACAAUGGGCGAAAGCUUGAUGCAGCAACGCCGCGUGAGGGAAGACGGUUUUCGGAUUGUAAACCU